UUUCCGUAGGUGAACCUGCGGAAGGAUCAUUAUUGUAGGGACUCCGGUCCCCUUAAGAUGCAACCCGUGCCUUUUUUGUAGCCCGUAACGUUUCCUCGGCAGCCCCGCUGCCAGCGAGGACCACCCCCCCCAAACCAACCUGCAAUCUCAGCAAAAAAUUCAGAAACCCCCCAAAAUUUAAAACUUUCAACAAUGGAUCUCUUGGCUCUGGCAUCGAUGAAGAACGCAGC
rnacentral:misc_RNA from 1 species